AAAUUAUUUUUCCUUUUCCCUUAUUUUUAUCUUGUUGAAUUGUACGUGGUCCCUUCACUUGGCCAGAAAUCGGUUCUAGAAAAUAAAAAAUAAAUAAAAUGUUAUCAACAAAAAUGGGUAUACAAACAUAUUUCACAAGUCAUUCCAAUCAACAAAUAAUAUAGGUUUCUAUAGAUUUUCCUGACACCAACUAAAAUAAUAUAAAAAAAUAUGAAUUGUACAAAUACUCUUUCAACUAUUUACCUCGAAUAACUAUACCAGGAAGUGAAAUUCUCUUUUGCUUCUUUUUGACAGGGGAAUCACCUGUUUCCUCAGCAUAACCUACUUUAAGUUCAUACUUAAACAUUCAAUUGAUUCCAAAAUAUCAUAUAAAAACCUAUUGAUAACAAAAUACAUAAAUGGCUACUGUUACCUUUCUGAUUCUUUUUCUUUUUGGAUUGAGCAGCCAUUCUUAGUACCUUAACUCAAAACAUGAAAUAAAAAUAU
rnacentral:lncRNA from 1 species